GCACCUACUAGAUUGAUCUAGGGAGCAAGAAUUAGAUGACUUAUCGAGUGUUCCAAUGAAAUUCCUUAUCUUCUCAAUCUCUUCUUUGUUGAACUUUUUGAAUUCAUCACCAUUGAGAUUCUGUGUAGGUCCUUCUUGGUUUGUGAAAUUCUCCAAGCUGCCUUGCUGAUUCCCUUUAAAUCCGCCAUUCCUGUUGAGAACUUGUGCCUUCCCAUGCAGCUUAAAACAAUUCUCCUUGGUAUGGCGAGGUUUCUUACAGUAAGUACACCAUAAAUCAUCACGAGCAGGUUACUUGCCUUGUUUAUGAUCACUUCUGUCACCCAGUCCUUGUUCCAAACUGUUAAACUUGUUUCCUCUAUCUACAAGUUUCUUUGAGACCAUGGCUGAUCCCUCGGAUUGCUGGGAUUUUAGCAUCACUAUUCUGCGGCUUUUUUCUCCACGUGCUAUUGAGAAUACCUCACUCAAAGGUGGCAGCUUCUCCUUACCAAGAAUCUGAAUCCG
rnacentral:misc_RNA from 1 species